rnacentral:lncRNA from 1 species
GUCAACCUUGCUAAAGAAAGUGGAAUCCUCACUUCCAGACGGAUUGAUUGGCUACUAUUCAUUUCGCAAAUGAUCCUGAUUGGACAGCUCUCUUGUCAGCUGCAGUACCGCAUACAGUCGCUAUCAAGUCUCCCCCACUGCUUUCUCGCGGUGAGAUCAGAUGCGGAGCCCAGCGCAGGACUGACACAGUUUCAGCACCACUUGUCUUGGUGGGAUGUAGACAACGAGACUGAGAUGGAGUGAAGAGGAAAGAGCCUAUUGUUAAGGGCAGGAGCCAGCUGUGUGAGAAUCAAGUGCUGGCGAGAAGAAUGCAAGGGAACACCCCUGGGACCUCUAAUGGAAUGGAAUAGUACAAUGGCUGCAUUGAGGAAAAACGACAACCCCCCUUUUCAACCAGAAUCCCACCACUAGGCUGUAUUAAAGCAGUCGAGGGUAUUGAAUUAAUGUCAAGCAUCUCGUGGAGGCAGCAUCAUGCUGCACCGCUGGAAGUAGCUGGAGGACCACCCAUGGAGAUUCCACCUUCUCGACGUUCUCAAUGCUCCUAA